AACGUACGCUGGCGGCAUGCCUAACACAUGCAAGUCGAACGAGACCUUCGGGUCUAGUGGCGCACGGGUGCGUAACGCGUGGGAACCUGCCUUUAGGUUCGGAAUAACUCAGAGAAAUUUGAGCUAAUACCGGAUGAUGUCUUCGGACCAAAGAUUUAUCGCCUUUAGAUGGGCCCGCGUUGGAUUAGCUAGUUGGUGGGGUAAAGGCCUACCAAGGCGACGAUCCAUAGCUGGUCUGGGAGGAUGAUCAGCCACACUGGGACUGAGACACGGCCCAGACCGCUACGCGAGGGAGGGGGGGGGUAGGGAGUAUAAGACGAGGGGCGAAUGUGCAGCCACGCAGUGCGGGGGAAGAGGGCAGGCGGGUAGGGUAGAAAAUUCUUUUGACACGAAGUGUGAAUGACGUUAAUGGGAAAAUAAGCACCGGCUAACCACGUG
rnacentral:rRNA from 1 species